GAUGAACGCUGGCGGCGUGCCUAAUACAUGCAAGUAGAACGCUGAAGGAAGGAGCUUGCUCUUUCCGGAUGAGUUGCGAACGGGUGAGUAACGCGUAGGUAACCUGCCUGGUAGCGGGGGAUAACUAUUGGAAACGAUAGCUAAUACCGCAUAACAGUAGAUGUUGCAUGAUAUCUACUUAAAAGGUGCAAUUGCACCACUACCAGAUGGACCUGCGUUGUAUUAGCUAGUUGGUGAGGUAACGGCUCACCAAGGCGACGAUACAUAGCCGACCUGAGAGGGUGAUCGGCCCCACUGGGACUGAGACACGGCCCAGACUCCUACGGGAGGCAGCAGUAGGGAAUCUUCGGCAAUGGACGGAAGUCUGACCGAGCAACGCCGCGUGAGUGAAGAAGGUUUUCGGAUCGUAAAGCUCUGUUGUAAGAGAAGAACGAGUGUGAGAGUGGAAAGUUCACACUGUGACGGUAUCUUACCAGAAAGGGACGGCUAACUACGUG
rnacentral:rRNA from 1 species